GGGCGAGUGAUGGAAUGGUUUACAUAGCGGACUUAAAAUCCGUGCCCUUACGGGUUGUGGGUUCGAAUCCCACCUCGCCCACCA
rnacentral:tRNA from 1 species